UCUCAGAGAGUUGGAAUUCUCGGAAAUCUCUCCCUCCCUUAGGAUGUGAUAAGGGUCACAGAGUGAAGUCUAGACAGGAAGCAGAGGUCGGUUACCAAGGAAACUGAAGCUGAGUAUGCUUGAAUGGU
rnacentral:lncRNA from 1 species